UACGGGGGAGGCAAGCGUUGUUCGGAAUUACUGGGCGUAAAGGGCUCGUAGGUGGCCAACUAAGUCAGACGUGAAAUCCCUCGGCUUAACCGGGGAACUGCGUCUGAUACUGGAUGGCUUGAGUUUGGGAGAGGGAUGCGGAAUUCCAGGUGUAGCGGUGAAAUGCGUAGAUAUCUGGAGGAACACCGGUGGCGAAGGCGGCAUCCUGGACCAACACUGACACUGAGGAGCGAAAGCCAGGGGAGCAAACGGG
rnacentral:rRNA from 1 species